rnacentral:rRNA from 1 species
GAUGAACGCUGGCGGCGUGCUUAACACAUGCAAGUCGAACGGUGAAGGCGGAGCUUGCUCUGCUGGAUCAGUGGCGAACGGGUGAGUAACACGUGAGCAAUCUGCCCCUGACUCUGGGAUAAGCGCUGGAAACGGCGUCUAAUACUGGAUACGAGCUGCGAAGGCAUCUUCAGCAGCUGGAAAGAAUUUCGGUCGGGGAUGAGCUCGCGGCCUAUCAGCUUGUUGGUGAGGUAAUGGCUCACCAAGGCGUCGACGGGUAGCCGGCCUGAGAGGGUGACCGGCCACACUGGGACUGAGACACGGCCCAGACUCCUACGGGGGGCAGCAGUGGGGAAUAUUGCACAAUGGGCGAAAGCCUGAUGCAGCAACGCCGCGUGAGGGACGACGGCCUUCGGGUUGUAAACCUCUUUUAGCAGGGAAGAAGCGAAAGUGACGGUACCUGCAGAAAAAGCGCCGGCUAACUACGUG